GACGAACGCUGGCGGCGUGCUUAACACAUGCAAGUCGAACGGAAUGGCCCUGCUUUUGUGGGGUGCUCGAGUGGCGAACGGGUGAGUAACACGUGAGUAACCUGCCCUUGACUUUGGGAUAACUUCAGGAAACUGGGGCUAAUACCGGAUAGGAGCUCCUGCUGCAUGGUGGGGGUUGGAAAGUUUCGGCGGUUGGGGAUGGACUCGCGGCUUAUCAGCUUGUUGGUGGGGUAGUGGCUUACCAAGGCUUUGACGGGUAGCCGGCCUGAGAGGGUGACCGGCCACAUUGGGACUGAGAUACGGCACAGACUCCUACGGGAGGCAGCAGUGGGGAAUAUUGCACAAUGGGCGGAAGCCUGAUGCAGCAACGCCGCGUGCGGGAUGACGGCCUUCGGGUUGUAAACCGCUUUCGCCUGUGACGAAGCGUGAGUGACGGUAAUGGGUAAAGAAGCACCGGCUAACUACGUG
rnacentral:rRNA from 1 species